GCAGUCGAGCGGUAGAGAGAAGCUUGCUUCUCUUGAGAGCGGCGGACGGGUGAGUAAUGCCUAGGAAUCUGCCUGGUAGUGGGGGAUAACGUUCGGAAACGGACGCUAAUACCGCAUACGUCCUACGGGAGAAAGCAGGGGACCUUCGGGCCUUGCGCUAUCAGAUGAGCCUAGGUCGGAUUAGCUAGUUGGUGAGGUAAUGGCUCACCAAGGCGACGAUCCGUAACUGGUCUGAGAGGAUGAUCAGUCACACUGGAACUGAGACACGGUCCAGACUCCUACGGGAGGCAGCAGUGGGGAAUAUUGGACAAUGGGCGAAAGCCUGAUCCAGCCAUGCCGCGUGUGUGAAGAAGGUCUUCGGAUUGUAAAGCACUUUAAGUUGGGAGGAAGGGUUGUAGAUUAAUACUCUGCAAUUUUGACGUUACCGACGGAAUAAGCACCGGCUAACUCUGUGCCAGCAGCCGCGGUAAUACAGAGGGUGCAAGCGUUAAUCGGAAUUACUGGGCGUAAAGCGCGCGUAUGUGGUUUGUUAAGUUGGAUGUGAAAUCCCCGGGCUCAACCUGGGAACUGCAUUCAAAACUGACUGACUAGAGUAUGGUAGAGGGUGGUGGAAUUUCGUGUAUAACGAUGAAAUGCGUACAUAUNNGAAGGAACACCGGUGGCAAAGGCGACCACCUGGACUAAUACUGACACUGAGGUGCGAAAGCGUGGGGAGCAAACAGGAUUAGAUACCCUAGUAGUCCACACCAUAUACGAUGUCAACUAGCCCUUGGAAGCCUUGAGCUUNUAGUGUCGCAGCUAACGCAUUAAGUUGACCGCCUGNNNAGUACGGCCGCNNNGUUAAGACUCAUAUGAAUUGACGGGUGCCCGCACAAGCGGUGGAGCAUGUGGUUUAAUUCCNAAGCAACGCGGAAGAACCUUACCAGGCCUUGACAUCCAAUGAACUUUCUACAAGAUAGAUUGGUUGCCCUUCUGGNAACAUUGAAGACAUGGUGCUUGCAUGGNNUGUCGUCNNCCUCGUGUCCAUGAGAUGUUUGGGUUUAACUCCCCCUAACGAAGCGCAACCCCUUUGUCCCUUAAUUUACCAGCCACCUUAAUUGGUUGGGGCANUCCUAAGGGAAGACUGCCCGGGUGAACCAUACCCGNAANNAAAGGGUGGGGGGAAU
rnacentral:rRNA from 1 species